rnacentral:rRNA from 1 species
GACGAACGCUGGCGGCGUGCUUAACACAUGCAAGUCGAACGGAAAGGCCUGCUUUCCCUUGUGGAUUGCGGGUACUCGAGUGGCGAACGGGUGAGUAACACGUGAGUGAUCUGCCCCCAACUUGGGUAUAAGCCUGGGAAACUGGGUCUAAUUCCCGAUAGGACUGCAGGGUGGUGCCUGUGGUGGAAAACGAUUUUCUAGUGGUUGGGGAUGAGCUCGCGGCCUAUCAGCUUGUUGGUGGGGUAAUGGCCUACCAAGGCGGCGACGGGUAGCCGGCCUGGGAGGGUGGACGGCCACAGUGGGACUGAGAUACGGCCCAGACUCCUACGGGAGGCAGCAGUGGGGAAGAGUGCACAAUGGGCGGAAGCCUGAUGCAGCGACGCCGCGUGGGGGAUGACGGCCUUCGGGUGGUAAACUCCUUUCGACCGCGAGGAAGCCACCUGGUUGGAAGGGUGGUGACGGUAGUGGUAGAAGAAGCACCGGCUAACUACGUG